CGAACGGGUGAGUAACAACGUGGGCAACCUGCCCAAAAGAGGGGGAUAACACUUGGAAACAGGUGCUAAUACCGCAUAACCAUAGUUACCGCAUGGUAACUAUGUAAAAGGUGGCUAUGCUACCGCUUUUGGAUGGGCCCGCGGCGCAUUAGCUAGUUGGUGGGGUAAAGGCUUACCAAGGCAAUGAUGCGUAGCCGAACUGAGAGGUUGAUCGGCCACAUUGGGACUGAGACACGGCCCAAACUCCCUACGGAAGGCAGCAG
rnacentral:rRNA from 1 species